AAAUGACGGUACCUGACUAAGAAGCCCCGGCUAACUACGUGCCAGCAGCCGCGGUAAUACGUAGGGGGCAAGCGUUAUCCGGAUUUACUGGGUGUAAAGGGAGCGUAGACGGCACGGCAAGCCAGAUGUGAAAGCCCGGGGCUCAACCCCGGGACUGCAUUUGGAACUGCUGAGCUAGAGUGUCGGAGAGGCAAGUGGAAUUCCUAGUGUAGCGGUGAAAUGCGUAGAUAUUAGGAGGAACACCAGUGGCGAAGGCGGCUUGCUGGACGAUGACUGACGUUGAGGCUCGAAAGCGUGGGGAGCAAACAGGAUUAGAUACCCUGGUAGUCCACGCCGUAAACGAUGACUGCUAGGUGUCGGGUGGCAAAGCCAUUCGGUGCCGCAGCUAACGCAAUAAGCAGUCCACCUGGGGAGUACGUUCGCAAGAAUGAAACUCAAAG
rnacentral:rRNA from 1 species